GCUAGUUUUGCUGCAACCCGGGAGAUAAUAACGCGUGGAAAACCGUUCACAGAUGGAGGUACAAUGCAAAGUAGACAUAAAUCAGUGCAUAGCCAGCCUGAGGGACAACUGGCUACAUCAUGGCCUUGUAUGGCAGUUCCACUACCCUCAACCACAAGGUUCUACAGACGGUGGAGAAAACUGCUCAGCACAUGACAAGAAUAGAGCUGUCAUCCAUUGGAGGACCUCUACAGCCAGUGCUGCUGGAAGAAGGCAAACAGGACUGUGAUAGACCCCAGUCACCUCAUUUAGAAAGUGCUGUGUCUACUACUGUCCAACAGACAGCACUGUAACAUCUGGCCCAGGACCACCAAGCUCAGGAAGAGCAUCUUCCUACAGAACAUCAGACUGCUCCCAAGCUCAUCACCAUGACACUUUACUCAAAUUGAAGUGAUGCAUAUGUCACUUUACCUUUGUUCUACAAUCACUUUCUGGUUACUACCUGUUUACAAGUUAUCACAGUAUGCAUAUAUAUCAGUGCAUCAUAUGUCUAAAAUCCCAUUCUUGCUUGUCCAUAACUUGUCAACAUAUUUAAUUUAUCAUCAUUGCUGUACAGCUACAGAUGUAGCAGUUUUCCACACCCUUUUUGUGUAGCAAAACCCAUGUAUCUCCAGAUGUGUUAAUUCUGAAUGUUUCUGAUAAACUGAAGGAUGAAUUGUUCCUUUAUUUGUUAGGAAAGUUCUCCUACUUCUUAAGCCAAAUUAACUCUUUAAAAAGCCUCUUGAAUUAGCGGAAAUAUGCAGUGCGACAAAGCUGACAACAGGCUGUUUUUCUGAGCUCAUGAAAAGUUGAGUUUUUAGAGAUACAAACAUAUGGUGAUCUUAAAGAAUAUGAUGCACUGCUGCAGAUUAAACUAGUGAACAGUAUAUAAAGUAGUUAAAAUGAGCUUGAACACCUACAACAGUAAAAUUCAGCAUACAUUUCAGUGCAGCAGUAAUAAUCCAAAAACAUUAGAUAUACGGUAAAACACUGCCAGCAGUAUUUUCACAGUGUGGUAUUAGUACCACAGGAUCUGAAUACUUCUUGUUUUUACAGAAUCUCUGAGAGGCAAGUGAGAAACAAAAAACUUGUAAUCCUUUUUCUGAUCCAAAGAUCUGAUCUAACUUGUUUUCUUGCCUGGUUUUGGAUCUAAGGAUCUAAAUAUAUUUUUUUUUGUCAGGAUCAGUUGUACUAACAUUAAAAAUAAUUGGAUAUCA